GCGCGCUUAGCUCAGUGGUAGAGCGUUACGUUGACAUCGUAAAGGCCGGAGGUUCGAUCCCUCCAGCGCGCA
rnacentral:tRNA from 1 species